rnacentral:rRNA from 1 species
UACGGGGGGAGCAAGCGUUGUUCGGAUUUACUGGGCGUAAAGGGCGCGUAGGCGGCUAGAUGUGUCAAAGGUGAAAUCCCUCGGCUCAACUGAGGAACUGCCUUUGAAACUGUCUGGCUUGAGGCCGGGAGAGGGUAGCGGAAUUCCCAGUGUAGCGGUGAAAUGCGUAGAUAUUGGGAGGAACACCAGUGGCGAAGGCGACUACCUGGCCUGUUCUUGACGCUGAGGCGCGAAAGCUAGGGGAGCAAACGGG